UACGUAGGGUGCGAGCGUUGUCCGGAAUUAUUGGGCGUAAAGGGCUCGUAGGCGGUCUGUCGCGUCGGAAGUGAAAACCCGGAGCUCAACUCCGGGCCUGCUUUCGAUACGGGCAGACUUGAGUGUUGCAGGGGAGACUGGAAUUCCUGGUGUAGCGGUGGAAUGCGCAGAUAUCAGGAGGAACACCGGUGGCGAAGGCGGGUCUCUGGGCAACAACUGACGCUGAGGAACGAAAGCGUGGGGAGCGAACAGG
rnacentral:rRNA from 1 species